GACGAACGCUGGCGGCGUGCUUAACACAUGCAAGUCGAGCGGUAAGGCCCUUUCGGGGUACGACGAGCGGCGAACGGGUAGGAGUAACAACGUGGGUGGACCUCGCCCUCCAGCUCUGGGAGUAAGACCUCGGGAAACCGGGGUACCGUAAUAACCGGACGUAUGACUCCAUGACGCAUGUUGUGGGGUGGGAAAGACCUUG
rnacentral:rRNA from 1 species